rnacentral:tRNA from 1 species
AAGAAAUUAGUUUAAACAAAACAUUAAUUUGUCAAAUUAAAAAAAUUAAAAUUUAAUAUUUCUUA